AGAGUUUGAUCCUGGCUCAGAACGAACGCUGGCGGCAUGCCUAACACAUGCAAGUCGAACGCCCCGCAAGGGGAGUGGCAGACGGGUGCAUAACACGUGGGAACCUACCCUUGGGUUCGGAAUAACCGCGGGAAACUGCGGCUAAUACCGGAUACGUCCUCUGGGAGAAAGAUUCAUCGCCCUUGGAGGGGCCCGCGUCGGAUUAGCUAGUUGGUGAGGUAACGGCUCACCAAGGCGACGAUCCGUAGCUGAUCUGAGAGGAUGAUCAGCCACACUGGAACUGAGACACGGUCCAGACUCCUACGGGAGGCAGCAGUGGGGAAUAUUGGACAAUGGGCGCAAGCCUGAUCCAGCAAUGCCGCGUGAGUGAUGAAGGCCUUCGGGUUGAAAAGCUCUUUUGGCAGGGACGAUAAUGACGGUACCUGCAGAAUAAGCCCCGGCUAACUUCGUGCCAGCAGACGCGGUAAUACGAAGGGGGCUAGCGUCGCUCGGAAUUACUGGGCGUAAAGGGCGCGUAGGCGGAUUCGCUAGUCAGGCGUGAAAUCCCCAGG
rnacentral:rRNA from 1 species